GAUGAAGAACGUAGCGAAAUGCGAUAAGUAAUGUGAAUUGCAGAAUUCAGUGAAUCAUCGAAUCUUUGAACGCACAUUGCGCCCGUCAGUAUUCUAGUGGGCAUGCCUGUUCGAGCGUCAUUUCAACCCUUAAGCCUCUGUUGCUUAGCGUUGGGAGCCUACCUACCCGGUAGAUCCUCAAAGUUAGCUGGCAGGGUCGAGGUUCGCCCUAAGCGUAGUAGUUCUUUCUCGCUUCUGCGGCUGCCUAGGCCAUCGCCACAAGCCUUUUAAACUUCAAUGGUUGACCUCGGAUCAGGUAGGAAUACCCGCUGAACUUAAGCAUAUCAAUAAGCGGAGGA
rnacentral:misc_RNA from 1 species